rnacentral:lncRNA from 1 species
CCAAGGAAAGCGCUUCAAUGUACAAAAACUUCCCUUUGUUUAUAUGAUCUAUCUAAGAGGAAACCAUAGAAGCGUUUCAGUAAUCAGUAUAGUGUACUCAAGUUUGCUGCGUCUUUAGUAUACUCAUCUAAUCUACAAUCUAUGUCUGGAGUGUAUAUGUAUCGAAUGGGAGUCGACAACAUCUGAAUGGGGAACUCCGUUCCAAUCCACUUAUACUUGCGCCACUGGCUGGUCAGGUCAGGCCUCCUUGUAGAAACAGUCGACAUCUGGAAGAGCGGCAGCGAUCUCGUCCCUGCAAAAGAGCUCACAUGGUUCAGAUCUGCUACUACUAGACUAACCAACAGGGGAAAGGCAACAAAAAUGAUAUCGGAAUGGGAAAUAACAAUGGCCGUUGCUACUCAAAAUAAUACAGAAUAUCAAAUAACGCGCAACAUCUGAAGUGCUCCGAUUCCAGCAUAAUUUGGUUUGUCGCAACCAUGAUAAGGUCAGCCAUUCUAGGUAGCAUAACAGCUCGAUUAAGCAUCCUAAAAGUCGAUAGAUGGUAGCUGAAAAUGCCGACAUAAAUAGGAAAACUCACAUAUCUUGUUGUGCUGCGCCUCCAUCCGGCACACCUGGCACGUCAUCCGGAACACCUGGCACUUGUCCUGCCGCUCCAUUCCCAGCAGGGUUCCUGUAUUUGCAACACUUCCAGACUUGAGCAUUCAGAGUUUGCAAUUGCAAAAAAAGUCUCUUGUUCCUGAACUUGUAAUAUUUAAAAUAUAUUGGGUAAGGUAAAAAAAAGAAGGAAAACUCACAUAUCUUGUUCUGCUGCGUCUCCAUCCAGCACACCUAGCACGUCAUCUGGCACUGCAACCGGGGCAUUUGGCACAUGUCCUAGCCCUCCACCCGGGCCAUUCAGC